rnacentral:misc_RNA from 1 species
UUAAGUUCAGCGGGUAUCCCCGCCUGAUCCGAGGUCAACGGUGUAAAAAGUUCAGGCGAAUCAACUCCCAGUGAGUCAUCACAGAUGGUCAAUUGCCGACGAUAUUGGAAUCCUGCCACGGCAGCGAUUCAAAUCCAAGCCAAGCUUGAGGGUGUAAUGACGCUCGAACAGGCGUACUCCUCGGAAUACCAAGGAGUGCA